CGCGUAGGCGGCGGGAUAAGUCAGAUGUGAAAGCCCCGGGCUCAACCUGGGAAUUGCAUUUGAUACUGUCUGGCUAGAGUCUGGUAGAGGGGGGUGGAAUUCCAGGUGUAGCGGUGAAAUGCGUAGAGAUCUGGAGGAACACCAGUGGCGAAGGCGACCCCCUGGACCAAGACUGACGCUGAGGUGCGAAAGCGUGGGGAGCAAACA
rnacentral:rRNA from 1 species